GGGGGGGGGGGGGGCGCUGACUUGGAGCAUGCCCCAGCGCUGUCAAGGGGACUUGAAUUUCCCCGGUGAUGGGCCGGGAAUGGAGUUCAGAGGCGGCGAGAGCCUGGCUCAGGGCUCGCAAGCACCUGUGUCUUCGCACACGUACGGUUGUGUGUUCCCAGCACCUACUGGCACCUGAUACAUGGUGGCUGCUCCGGAGGCAUCCGUCGAAUGAUGAGUGAGUAUUUCAGUUGAUUGCCAUAGAGUUUCUGACUAUACAGAUCGAGGACCUGAAAAAGAGAGAGAGAGAAGGAUAAUUUCAUCUCUUGGUUUCCAAUAAUUAAACUCAUUUUUUUU